CUUGGUCAUUUAGAGGAAGUAAAAGUCGUAACAAGGUUUCCGUAGGUGAACCUGCGGAAGGAUCAUUAUUGAAUUUAGUGGGGAGGGUUGUAGCUGGCCUUCCGGGGCAUGUGCACACCCAAGCCUUUAAUCCACAUACACCUGUGAACUUAGUGUGAGGGUCCGUAAAAAGGCCCUCAUGUCUUAUCAUCAACCCCAUUGUAUGUCUCACAGAAUGUAAUAUAUAUCUUCGCCCUUAAAAGCGUUGGUAAACCUAUACAACUUUCAACAACGGAUCUCUUGGCUCUCGCAUCGAUGAAGAACGCAGCGAAAUGCGAUAAGUAAUGUGAAUUGCAGAUUUUCAGUGAAUCAUCGAAUCUUUGAACGCACCUUGCGCCCCUUGGUAUUCCGAGGGGCAUGCCUGUUUGAGUGUCAUUAAAUCCUCAACUCCGAUCGAUUUGUUUCGACCCCGGGGCUUGGACUUGGAGUGUGCUGGCGUCUGGUCGUCGGCUCCUCUCAAAUGCAUCAGCGGAAUUGAACCUUUGGGGUUUCCGGACAUCAGUGUGAUAAUCAAUGUUGUGCUGUUGUCUGACCUCAAAAGUCCGCUCACAAUUGUCCCUUCGUGGACAAAGCUCAUCAAAUUUGACCUCAAAUCAGGUAGGACUACCCGCUGAACUUAAGCAUAUCAAUAAGCGGAGGA
rnacentral:rRNA from 1 species